rnacentral:rRNA from 1 species
ACCUACGGGGCGCAGCAGUGAGGAAUAUUGGUCAAUGGACGAAAGUCUGAACCAGCCAUGCCGCGUGCAGGAAGACGGCUCUACGAGUUGUAAACUGCUUUUGUACAAGGGUAAACCUGAAUACGUGUAUUCAGCUGAAAGUACUGUACGAAUAAGGAUCGGCUAACUCCGUGCCAGCAGCCGCGGUAAUACGGAGGAUUCAAGCGUUAUCCGGAUUUAUUGGGUUUAAAGGGUGCGUAGGCGGUCGGAUAAGUUAGAGGGGAAAUCCCGAGGCUCAACUUCGGAAUUGACUCGGAGACUGUUCG